AAUCCCGUCACUCGCCCCUCCCCGACAAGUUGAAGGUGGUCCUUACGCCUGAGCCGCAUCCUACAGCCUUCUCAUUGGCCCUCGGCAGCCGCUUUGCCAGCUGAUUGGAGAGAGUGGAUGUCCAUCAGGGUCACGCUCCGCGGCAGAGAGAGGCGACCCGGGAGGGUAGAGGGGCCUGCUGGGAUGGUCCGGAGGACUGGGAAAGGCUCGGGGCGGGGUUCUGCCGCCCCGCGGAACGCCGGGAAGGGGUCACUUCCAGAGGAAGGUUCCGGUUCCGGUUCAGGUAGUGGUUGAGUUGCUACGGCAACGCGGCUGGCGGGUUCCUCCGUGGCGGGCGGUAACUGGGCUGGAGGAGGCCUAGUGCACCUUUCCCAGCCUUGGUGAGCGGCUCCGGUGCCUCCCUAAGGCCGCGACCGAAUGCGGCUGUUCUUGGCGGAAGCCGGCCAGGGCACUGGCGGACAGGCCUGCCCGGGGCUGCGUCAUCGGGCCUGGCCACACGUCCCGGCUCUCCUGGCCCCGCCGCCCACGUGGGGGGGCAGGUCCAGGCCCGGCCCGCUGGCUCCGGCCUCUGGCUCUCGUUUAUUUCUCUAAAGAAAAAAAAGAAAACCCUUUUAUUUUAGAAGUUUGUAAAGCGCUCUCGUCUGAGUGAUCCCACCGGGGUUUGGGGUUCGCUGACCUUCCUCCCAGUUGAAUGGGCAACGGAGACGGGAACUGGCUCGUUGGACUAACGUUUUGUGAGCAGGUAAAUCAGAGGCACUGGCACCAGGAACGGAAAUACACAGGACACGGCCGAUGCAGAAGCAGAACCGAAGUCCAGCAUGAGGUGCAUUUAACAGUAGAGAAUAUAGUUUCCCAAACCACCUAACUUUCACUCAUGCUUGUAUUAGAGUAAGAUGUGUAGGGUUUUUUAAAA